GACGUAGGAGGCGAGCGUUGUCCGGAUUCAUUGGGCGUAAAGAGCUCGUAGGCGGUCUGUCGCGUCUGCUGUGAAAACCUGGGGCUUAACCCCGGGCCUGCAGUGGGUACGGGCAGACUAGAGUGUGGUAGGGGAGACUGGAAUUCCUGGUGUAGCGGUGAAAUGCGCAGAUAUCAGGAGGAACACCGGUGGCGAAGGCGGGUCUCUGGGCCAUAACUGACGCUGAGGAGCGAAAGCGUGGGGAGCGAACAGG
rnacentral:rRNA from 1 species